rnacentral:rRNA from 1 species
GAGGAAUAAGCAUCGGCUAACUCCGUGCCAGCAGCCGCGGUAAUACGGGGGAUGCAAGCGUUAUCCGGAAUCAUUGGGCGUAAAGCGCCUGUAGGUUGUUUAAUAAGUCUGUUGUUAAAGACUAGGGCCUAACCCUAGAAAAGCAAUGGAAACUACUAGACUAGAGUAUGGCAGGGGUAGAGGGAAUUUCUAGUGUAGCGGUGAAAUGCGUAGAUAUUAGAAAGAACACCAGUGGCGAAAGCGCUCUACUGGACCAUUACUGACACUCAGAGGCGAAAGCUAGGGUAGCAAAAGGGAUUAGAUACCCCUGUAGUCCUAGCCGUAAACGAUGGAUACUAGAUGUUGUGCUUCAUGUACAGUAUCGUAGCUAACGCGUUAAGUAUCCCGCCUGGGGAGUACGCUCGCAAGGGUGAAACUCAAAGGAAUUGACGGGGGCCCGCACAAGCGGUGGAGCAUGUGGUUUAAUUCGAUGCAACGCGAAGAACCUUACCAGGGCUUGACAUACUACAAAUUCUUUAGAGAUAGAGAAGUGCCUUCGGGAAUGUAGAUACAGGUGGUGCAUGGCUGUCGUCAGCUCGUGUCGUGAGAUGUUGGGUUAAGUCCCGCAACGAGCGCAACCCUUAUUUUUAGUUACUAAUUCGUUAGGUUUUCUAGAAAGACUGCCGGUGACAAACCGGAGGAAGGUGAGGAUGACGUCAAGUCAGCAUGCCCCUUAUGCCCUGGGCUACACACGUGCUACAAUGGUUAAGACAAAGAGUCGCGAGCUCGCGAGAGUCAGCUAAUCUCAUAAACUUAGCCUAAGUUCAGAUUGUAGGCUGCAACUCGCCUACAUGAAG